rnacentral:rRNA from 2 species
CAGAUAAGGAGCUUGCUCCUUUGACGUUAGCGGCGGACGGGUGAGUAACACGUGGGUAACCUACCUAUAAGACUGGAAUAACUCCGGGAAACCGGGGCUAAUGCCGGAUAACAUUUAGAACCGCAUGGUUCUAAAGUGAAAGAUGGUUUUGCUAUCACUUAUAGAUGGACCCGCGCCGUAUUAGCUAGUUGGUAAGGUAACGGCUUACCAAGGCAACGAUACGUAGCCGACCUGAGAGGGUGAUCGGCCACACUGGAACUGAGACACGGUCCAGACUCCUACGGGAGGCAGCAGUAGGGAAUCUUCCGCAAUGGGCGAAAGCCUGACGGAGCAACGCCGCGUGAGUGAUGAAGGUCUUCGGAUCGUAAAACUCUGUUAUUAGGGAAGAACAAAUGUGUAAGUAACUGUGCACGUCUUGACGGUACCUAAUCAGAAAGCCACGGCUAACUACGUGCCAGCAGCCGCGGUAAUACGUAGGUGGCAAGCGUUAUCCGGAAUUAUUGGGCGUAAAGCGCGCGUAGGCGGUUUCUUAAGUCUGAUGUGAAAGCCCACGGCUCAACCGUGGAGGGUCAUUGGAAACUGGGAAACUUGAGUGCAGAAGAGGAAAGUGGAAUUCCAUGUGUAGCGGUGAAAUGCGCAGAGAUAUGGAGGAACACCAGUGGCGAAGGCGACUUUCUGGUCUGUAACUGACGCUGAUGUGCGAAAGCGUG